UAAAUAAACAAACAAAAAAAAAGAAGUACUGUACGUGUCUGGAAGCAUCUACAGUGAAUUUGAAAUUUCAAGGACAACUUGGAGGAAAAACAGCAUGCGAGUACCAUACAGGAAACUCCUGGUGUCAAGUUUUUAAAUUGUUUUGAGGAAGCCACUCUGUUACAACCCAUCCCAUGUCCCUAUAGUGUGGGACAUAGGUAUUUGGCCAGUCACCGUCUGCUCUUCCUGGAAAUCGUGGAGGCCAGCAGAAAGGACCAAUAUUUUCGUCCAAGAAGAUCUCUGAAACUAUUUGAGCCCUUAGGCAGGCACUUGGCUGAAUCCCAGAAAUCUGUGCCAUCUAGCACAGUGAAGGUGAUUUGGGAUAACUCGUGAUAUAUCUGCUUCUUGAGGGCAGGAAUCUACAGCCUAUUCACAAUGCGAAUUACAUAUUAUUAUCAAAUAGCAUAUUGCCAGGCAUGCAGUGCUCAACAAGCGGUUGUUGAACUAAAAUAAAACCAAAAGUAGAAAUUAGUACGGUAUGGGAA